GACGAACGCUGGCGGCGUGCUUAACACAUGCAAGUCGAACGGAAAGGCCCUGCUUUUGUGGGGUGCUCGAGUGGCGAACGGGGGAGUAACACGGGGGUAACCUGCCCUUGACUUUGGGAUAACUUCAGGAAACUGGGGCUAAUACCGGAUAGGAGCUCCUGCUGCAUGGUGGGGGUUGGAAAGUUUCGGCGGUUGGGGAUGGACUCGCGGCUUAUCAGCUUGUUGGUGGGGUAGUGGCUUACCAAGGCUUUGACGGGUAGCCGGCCUGAGAGGGUGACCGGCCACAUUGGGACUGAGAUACGCCCCAGACUCCUACGGGAGGCAGCAGUGGGGAAUAUUGCACAAUGGGCGGAAGCCUGAUGCAGCAACGCCGCGUGCGGGAUGACGGCCUUCGGGUUGUAAACCGCUUUCGCCUGUGACGAAGCGUGAGUGACGGUAAUGGGUAAAGAAGCACCGGCUAACUACGUG
rnacentral:rRNA from 1 species